UUCGCAAUGCCCGAAAGGGUGACGAAGCGACGCCGCGUGGGUGAGGAAGGCCCUCGGGUUGUAAAGCCCUGUCAGGAGUUAAGAAAUGUAAGUGCGCUAAUAUCGCAUUUAUUUGACGAAGGCUCCAAAGGAAGCCACGGCUAACUCUGUGCCAGCAGCCGCGGUAAUACAGAGGUGGCAAGCGUUGUUCGGAAUUAUUGGGCGUAAAGAGCACGUAGGUGGGUUUGUAAGUCAGAUGUGAAAGCCUUCUGUUCAACGGAAGAAUUGCAUCUGAAACUACAAGUCUUGAGUGUAGGAGGGGAGAAUGGAACUUCUGGUGGAGCGGUGAAAUGCGUAGAUAUCAGAAGGAACGCCGGCGGCGAAAGCGAUUCUCUGGCCUAUUACUGACACUCAGUGUGCGAAAGCUAGGGGAGCAAACGGGAUUAGAUACCCCGGUAGUCCUAGCUGUAAACGAUGGGCACUAAGUAGAGGGGUUUU
rnacentral:rRNA from 1 species